UACAGAGGUCCCAAGCGUUGUUCGGAUUCACUGGGCGUAAAGGGUGCGCAGGUGGAUUGGCAAGUUCGAUGUGAAAGCCCCGGGCUUAACCCGGGAAUGGCAUUGGAUACUGCUGAUCUGGAGGAUCGGAGGGGGGACUGGAAUUCUUGGUGUAGCAGUGAAAUGCGUAGAUAUCAAGAGGAACACCAGUGGCGAAGGCGAGUCCCUGGACGAAACCUGACACUGAGGCACGAAAGCCAAGGGAGCAAACAGG
rnacentral:rRNA from 1 species